ACCAGAGGCAGGGUGGAGGCAGGGAGACCAGAGAGAAAACCAUCCCCACUGGAGCAGAGAGCGCUGCAAACUGGGCUGUCAUGGCCCGGGCCAGCCUGCGAGCCUCCUCUACGGGCUGCCAGGCAACAGACAGGAUACCCAGCUCAUUUGGAAUUUAAUUUUUAGUAUAAGUAUGGCCCAAAUAUUUCAAUCCCUUUUGUUCUAAAAUAGUAUCCCUUGUUUAUCAGAAACUCAAAUUGAACUGAGCAUCUUGCAUUUUUAUCUGCUAAGUCAGGCAAACCUACUCCCCAAGUAUGGAAGUUAGAGUUUACAGUCCCUCACUUGCUCCUCAAUAGUAUCUUAUGAGGUAUUUCUACCAUCGCCAUCAUGCCCAUUUUACAGAUGAGAAAACUGAGUCAUAGGGCUGACCACAGCCACACGACUAGCGAGUCUGUUUCCAUAGCCUGUGUUCCUAACCUCCAGGGUACCUGACAGAGUUUGCAGUCCAUCAGACCUCGAUUCACAGUCUGGCUCUGCCACUGACUAGGAAAUGGCCUAUAACAAUGACCUUUGGUUUCAGUCGUAGGAAAUACACUAAAAACGCCAUGGCCAGGUGUCUCGCUGGAACUCUCUCUGAGGCUGAAACAGCUGUGACCCUGUCCUCCAGGUCGCCCUCCCACUCCAGCUCCCAGUCUGACCUCUGUGACCCUCGCUCCCAGUCGUGUUAGGCAGUCGACACAGCAGAGAAAGCGAGAUAAGAUUCCUGCUCUCCUGGGGCCAAUAAUAUUUUUGACCCAGAUGCCAACCAUGUGGUCACUCCCAGUCCCUAUUUAACUCACUUUUUCAAAAAAAUAAAAAAUAUUUUUAUUGAA